AACCAGUGAGCAAUCUCUCCAACCCUGAAUCCACUUUCUCCUCAUUAUGGUCCACGGGAAUUUGAACUGAAGUAAAGCUGCAAGACAGAAAUAAUAAUAGCCUCUACUCUACAGCCACGUUGAGAGAGUAAAACGGUCUGAUUUACAUCAGUUGCUUAAAAUCAUGCAGUUUCUGCACAGCAUUAAAGUUCUUUCUUGGAAAUGCUGGCUCUCUGUAUUAGAAGGACUCGAUGGCUUAAGGAAGUGAUGUAGCUCUGGGAUCACAUACAUAGUGAAGAUGGGUCUCUCUUAGAUGUGAGUGGAGUGAUGAAGUCGUUGACAUUUGGUGAUGGACUUACUAUGAUGCCUUCAAGAUUCUCCCAUGUUCUAGCAAUGUGAAAGAACCAUCUUUUUAAGUUGAGUAAUACUCCACUAUCUUCUCAACAUCAUGCGCAUCCAUCUGCUGAUGGAGAAACCUUGCUCCUAUCUUAGCUAUGGGGAAUAAUGCUCUUCUAUGCACAGAUGUGCAAAUAUCCCUAGCUUUUGAUUCUUUUCGAUGUAAUAACCAGAAGCAUGAUUGCUAGAUCAUAUCAUAAUGUCAUUGUUAACAUUAUGAGGAACAACUGUCAGACUGGUUUUCAUAAAGGCUUCUUACCAACAGUAUACAAAGUUUAAAUUCUUCCCUUCUCUCAUUAACACUAAGACUUUAUAUUUUGUGUAUGUAGGCUUUUUGUUGUUUUGUUUUAGUAAAACAUAAGGGGUAUGAGGGUCCAUUUCAUGGUGGUUUUCCGAUUAAUGAUUAUUUUUAGCAAUUUCUUCCUUAUGCUUUCUGGAGGAAUAAUUUCAAAAGUCACAGGAAUAAAAAGUCUAUGGAUGAUAUUUAAUACAUGACUCUGGGGCAAAUGGGUAAUUAUAAAUCCAUUUUCAGGAUAAAGGAGUUUUUGUUUAGCUUGUGAACACUUAAUAUUUACUAUUUUGGGGACAGCAAGAUUGCUCCCCAGGUGAAGGGACGGUUGAUCAGUUUCCAGAUAUCUCUUCUGUCUCACAAUUCUUAUUGGUUCUUUAUUUGAUUUAGUUGGUGCUUAGAAUUUCAUUGUUUUGUUUUGGGUGAUUCAGUAGUGCGCCAAAGUUUGCAGAGUUUUAGGGAAAGGCAACAAUGCCUCACAUUUCUCUUGUAUAUUGUAGAAAUAAAGGCCAUAGUUGCCAACACU
rnacentral:lncRNA from 1 species